rnacentral:rRNA from 1 species
UACAGAGGUCUCAAGCGUUGUUCGGAUUCAUUGGGCGUAAAGGGUGUGUAGGUGGCUCCUUAAGUCGGGCGUGAAAUUUCGGAGCUUAACUCCGAAACUGCAUUCGAUACUGCGGUGCUUGAGGACUGGAGAGGAGACUGGAAUUCAUGGUGUAGCAGUGAAAUGCGUAGAGAUCAUGAGGAAGACCAGUGGCGAAGGCGGGUCUCUGGACAGUUCCUGACACUGAGACACGAAGGCCAGGGGAACAAACGGG